GGUCUGGCCUGCCCGCUGAAGGUUUUUAAGGGCCGCGGUAUUAUGACCGUGCGAAGGUAGCAUAAUCAUUAGUCUUUUAAUUGGAGGCUGGAAUGAAUGGUUAGACGAGAAAUUAACUGUCUUGAAUUUUGAAACUUGAAUUUAACUUUUAAGUGAGAAGGCUUAAAUGGGCUAGGGGGACGAUAAGACCCUAUAAAGUUUGUACAUUAGGCUAAUUAAGAGUGAUUUAGAUUUAUAAGGCUUUAUUAUUAGGGGGUGUUAAGUUGGGGCGACUAGGAUAUAAUUUAUAUAACUGUUUCUUUAUUAUAAUCAGAAAUAUUUGAGUUUAUGAUCCUUUUUUAGGAUUUUUAGAGUAAAUUACUUUAGGGAUAACAGCGUAAUUUUUUUUGAGAGUUCAUAUCGAUAAAAGAGUUUGCGACCUCGAUGUUGAAUUAAAAUUUCUUUGUGAUGCAGCAGUUACAUGAGAAGGUCUGUUCGACCUUUAAAAUUUUACAUGAUUUGAGUUCAGACCGGCGUGAGCCAGGUUGGUUUU
rnacentral:rRNA from 1 species